rnacentral:rRNA from 1 species
GACGAACGCUGGCGGCGUGCCUAAUACAUGCAAGUUGAGCGCUGAAGGUUGGUACUUGUACCAACUGGAUGAGCAGCGAACGGGUGAGUAACGCGUGGGGAAUCUGCCUUUGAGCGGGGGACAACAUUUGGAAACGAAUGCUAAUACCGCAUAAAAACUUUAAACACAAGUUUUAAGUUUGAAAGAUGCAAUUGCAUCACUCAAAGAUGAUCCCGCGUUGUAUUAGCUAGUUGGUGAGGUAAAGGCUCACCAAGGCGAUGAUACAUAGCCGACCUGAGAGGGUGAUCGGCCACAUUGGGACUGGGACACGGCCCAAACUCCUUCGGGAGGCAGCAGUAGGGAAUCUUCGGCAAUGGACGGAAGUCUGACCGAGCAACGCCGCGUGAGUGGAGAAGGUUUUCGGGUCGUAAAACUCUGUUGGUAGAGAAGAACGUUGGUGAGAGUGGAAAGCUCAUCAAGUGACGGUAACUACCCAGAAAGGGACGGCUAACUACGUG